CCGGCGACCGGCGCACGGGUGAGUAACACGUAUGCAACCUGCCCUCCGCAGGGGGAUAACCCGGAGAAAUCCGGACUAAUACCGCGUGGUACAUCUGUGGGGCAUCCCACGGGUGUUAAAAGGAAGCGAUUCCGGCGGAGGAUGGGCAUGCGGCGCAUUAGCUAGUUGGCGGGGUAACGGCCCACCAAGGCGACGAUGCGUAGGGGUUCUGAGAGGAAGGUCCCCCACACUGGUACUGAGACACGGACCAGACUCCUACGGAAGGCAGCAG
rnacentral:rRNA from 1 species